rnacentral:rRNA from 1 species
UACGGAGGGUGCAAGCGUUAUCCGGAUUUACUGGGUUUAAAGGGUGUGUAGGCGGGUCUUUAAGUCUUGCGUGAAAUCUUGCGGCUCAACCGCAAGCGGUCGUGGGAAACUGGGUGGCUAGAGUGCGGGAGAGGAGAGUGGAAUUCCUGGUGUAGCGGUGGAAUGCGCAGAUAUCAGGAAGAACACCCGUGGCGAAGGCGGCUCUCUGGAACGCAACUGACGCUGAGGCGCGAAAGCGUGGGGAGCAAACAGG